GAUGAACGCUGGCGGCGUGCCUAACACAUGCAAGUCGAGCGAUUUACUUCGGUAAAGAGCGGCGGACGGGUGAGUAACGCGUGGGUAACCUGCCCUGUACACACGGAUAACAUACCGAAAGGUAUGCUAAUACGAGAUAAUAUGCUUUUAUCGCAUGGUAGAAGUAUCAAAGCUUUUGCGGUACAGGAUGGACCCGCGUCUGAUUAGCUAGUUGGUAAGGUAACGGCUUACCAAGGCGACGAUCAUUAGCCGACCUGAGAGGGUGAUCGGCCACAUUGGAACUGAGACACGGUCCAAACGCCUACGGGAGGCAGGAGUGGGGAAUAUUGCACAAUGGGCGAAAGCCUGAUGCAGCAACGCCGCGUGAGCGAUGAAGGCCUUCGGGUCGUAAAGCUCUGUCCUCAAGGAAGAUAAUGACGGUACUUGAGGAGGAAGCCCCGGCUAACUACGUGCCAGCCGCCGCAGUAA
rnacentral:rRNA from 1 species